rnacentral:lncRNA from 1 species
AUUCAUCUCUCUCGUUUCAUGACCUCUUUUUUUCUUUCUUUUAACUUCUUAUCUUAUAUUUUGGUAUAAGUAUUAAAACCUAAGAAGAAAUAUUGUUCUGCACGAACGCUUAGCGAGUCUAUAAUUUUCUCGUUUUAAAGCGAUUGUCACCGUUUGUUCCAAUUGAAUGGGUUGACGUUCCCAAUGUGAUUUAUUAUUUGAAACUGUCGAUAUAAAAUCCACUAUCCCCGUACAUACAUCGGAUACUAUAUACUGGAUGUUGUGCGAAACCGUUAUGCAACCUGUAGUACGUAAGCUGGCGGUCUUUGCUCGCCUGGAUUCCAGUUGGCCUGUCCUCUUAUAUUGUGUCCUGCGUAUAAGUAAGAACAUUUAGGACAACAGGAUGAAGAAGUACGAUGUGUAAGAUAUCUUCCCUAUAAAGGGAUCAUAAAAGAUCUUUCUUUUUUUUUUCUUUUUCAUUUUAUUUUUAUAUUUCAUUGAAAAUAAAAUCACGUUGAAAGUCCAAUUAUCUUUAAGAUCAACCGGAAGUA